ACCCUUUUCUCUUCAACUUGCUUUUUGGUCAUGGUGUUUCAUCGCAGCAAUAGAAACCCUAACUAAGACAGACCUAGAGAAAGUACCUUUCACGUGGCUCUCCCCAGGAGUGGGGGUUGGGCGGGACUUGAACUCACAACUAGAAGGCAAACUAAAGAGAAAUAAUGAUUGUAGAAUGCCUGCUUCCUAGUUAGCAUUGGUUGUCAACUUGACACAGUCCAGAGCUGUCUUGUAGGAGUCUUAGGAGUUUUGGGGAUUGCCUCUGUUAGAUGGGCUUGGAGGCAUGUCUGUGAGGGUGUUUUUUGGUUUUGUUUUUAUUGCUAAUUGAUAUAGCAGGGCCCAGCUCACUGAGGGCGGUGUAACUCCUGGGCAGGUGGUUUUGGGUGGUAUAGGGAAACUGAAUGAGCACAAGCCAGGGGGACAAGCGAGUAAGCGAACUUUCUUACAUAAUCUCUGCUUUAGUUCCUGCCCUGACUUCUCUCAGUGAUGAACUGGGACCUGGAGCUGUAAACCAAAAGCAAAAUCCUUCCUUAUAGCAGCAGCAACAACAAAACCUGAAACAGAAGCACCCAGCGAAGUUAUGGAAGCCUUCCGGUGAGGGAGACCGGAAGAAGCCAAGAGGAAAGAGGCACGAGAAAAAUAUCAGAGCGAUAUGAACUGAACUGAGAGAGAACACUCGUGCAACAGAGAUUUUUCCAGGGAAGCCUGCUAUUUUCUAAUGAGAGAUACUGACGAGAGGGAACUUGGAAGAAUAGAGAUGGGGAAACUGUAAUCCGGAUACAUCGUGUGUGUGAAAAAAUAUUUUCAAUAGAAGGUGGAAGAAAAAAUUUACCAUACAACAUAUUUUUAUAAUUUAUUUUACUUUUACUUUAUGUACACUGGUGUUUUGCCUCCAUGAGUGUCUUGCAAGGGUGUCGGAUCCCCUGGAACUGCAGCCACAGACGACACUGGGUGCUGGAAAAUGAACCCAGGAAACACUUGGGAGAGGGACCAUGGAGGCACAUUUCAGGCUUUACAAUCUCUUGUUUGCACAGCCAUUUCCAGUAAAAACUGUUUCACAAAGGACUUCCUGGUAUUCCGGCCCUCUUCUUCCUCCAUCUUCCCUGAGCCGUAGAGGCAGGAACUGUGAUACAGAUGCAUCUCUGGGGGCUGGAUUCCCCAUGAUCUGUUCAUCUUUGCGUUGUGUCUUUUGUGGUUUUCUGUGAUGAUCUCCACUCUCUGUGAUGAGGGGCUUCUUUGAUGAGGCUGGGGGAUGGCGCAGAAGAAGGAGCAGAAGUUGGUGAGCACUGCUGUGAAUGGCGUCUUCUGCACAUGACAACUGCCACCGAACUUUCGAACUCACUGAAGCCGUGACUGACCACACAAGACCCUCCAGGCCUGCCAUUACGUCAUCACGCAUGGGUGGAGAGGCUCCUGGGGCCUCCCUCCCAUUGGGAAACCACCAGCUAGGGAGCUCAUGUCACUUUCUUCAGUUGUGUAGCUACUGGCACGUUGCCCAUAUUCUAGAAAAUAACCCCCUAACUCAUGCUCACGCCGGCAAGCGAAAUUAAACUCCGUGGAUCAAAAAAGAAUUCAAAAUCAGAGGAGGCUUGUUGAAAGAAAAGGGGUUUUAGUAGGAAAGAUGGAGUAUGAGAGAUGGUAUUAAGGAGAGAGGUAAAUGAUUCUGGACACGCAUGCACAUGGGAAAUUUUCAGAGAAUUAAAAAAAAUGAAAAUGAAAAAAAAAGAGUGUGGCUAACUGGAGCCAGGUAUGGUAAUGCGUGCCUGACUUCCAGGCAUUUGGGAGGCCAAGGCAGGAGGACUGCCUCCAAAUAUCUGUCCAUCUGUCUGUCCGUCUGUCUAUCAAUUCAUCUAUCUACUGUUGGUCUGUCUAUCUAUCUACUAUCCAUCUAUCAUCUAUUUGCUAUCUCUCUACUACUUAUCUGUGGUCUGUCCAUCUGUUUGUCCCUCCACCCACCCACUCCACCCAUCCAUCCACCCACCCAUCCAUCCAUCUGUCUAUCUUAUAUCUUGGCUGAAGGUUCCCCUCAAAUAUACUUUUUUAAUUUUUAAAAUAUUGGAUAUUUUAUAUUGAAAUUUCCAACCUGGAUGAUGUGGUAUAAAACAAAUGCAACCAGGAAGUUGUCAGUCAUGGCAGCAGGGCACCAUCAGUCUCCUGAGAGUGGUGCUGGUGCCCAGUUCCCCCCAUUUUAACUCCAUUUUAUCUAACAUUCUUGGCCUGUUUUUCUUUUCUUUUCUAUU